rnacentral:rRNA from 1 species
GGCUACACACGUGCUACAAUGGGUAGUACAGAGAGUCGCAAAGCCGCGAGGUGGAGCUAAUCUCAGAAAACUAUUCUUAGUUCGGAUUGUACUCUGCAACUCGAGUACAUGAAGUUGGAGUCGCUAGUAAUCGCGAAUCAGCAAUGUCGCGGUGAAUACGUUCUCGGGUCUUGUACACACCGCCCGUCACACCACGAGAGUUGGUUGCACCUGAAGUAGCAGGCCUAACCGUAAGGAGGGAUGCUCCGAGGGUGUGAUUAGCGAUUGGGGUGAAGUCGUAACAAGGUAUCCGUACGGGAACGU